GGCAAGAUGGCCGAGUGGUUAAGGCGGUAGGUUCAAGAAAUCGCCCCCUGGGCCUUCUCUUAGCCUUCAAAGAAGGUUAGUAUUCUACUGGAGAAAUCCGCGUGGGUUCGAAUCCCACUCUUGUCA